UGUGGAUGCCUGUGUUAACUACAUAAUUGU
rnacentral:piRNA from 1 species